AUUUGCAAUGGGGAAAAAGAAAGCAGUUUAGGGCCACCCAGAAGAAAAUAUUUUUUCCCUGAUUUUUUUUUAAUUUGGUAUUUCCCAGUGUGGGUUUGCCUCAUUUUACAAAUAGCUGCCCAUGUCAAGAUGUGGGUAUGUGAUUUAAAUAUUUUAAUUUGAAUCACAUUUUACAUAGUCUAGGAAACUGACAAAAGAAUCCUAUAGAGAAUUGUUUUAUAAAGUGAAUAACUGCUUCUCUACCUACCCGCCCCUCUCAUUCUUCUUUUCUGUGCGUGUUUUUGGGGGGCUGUUAUGGGAUAAAUCUUGUUUGGCUUAAAAAUCACUAAAACGCAGCCUUUCAAAUCCAAAACAGAGAGCUUAGGUACCCAACAUUCUAUAGAAUGUAUUAUUUCCUCAAGAGGUUGCUAGGAACAGUUAUGUAGAUCUACCAGGUGCAGGGAAGCACUCCACACCCUCACCCAGGUCCUGUAUCCCUGCAAGACUGCGUUGGAAAGACUGAAGAGAGGCGGAGUUUCACCAUGUUGGCCAGGCUGGUCUUGAACUCCUGACCUCAGGUGAUCCACCCGCCUCAGCCUUUCAAAGUGCUGGGCAGGCGUGAGCCACGACGCCUGGCUGAUGAUAAUCUUUACUCAUAAUAUUAUGAAGCAAAUAUAUGUUAUUCAUAUAUCGUUUUACUAUAAAUAUUUUGGUUAACUUUUGAAUUUAUGCUAGUCUAUCAUAAAUCUUCAACUAACUGUGUUAUUUAAAGGAUACACACAGUAAUAUUCUUGAUCCAAAGGGGGAGAAAUGAUUUUAUUUUGUUAUGUUUUAGUCUUUAUGUUUGUUUUAACUCUUCUUUCUGACCACAUUAUGUACUUUUAAAAAAUAAAGAUUCUAGCAACAUUA
ensembl:lncRNA GNAO1-DT GNAO1 divergent transcript